rnacentral:tRNA from 1 species
UAUUUAAUUAGUAUAAAAAGUACAUUUAAUUUCCAAUUAAAAAGUUUUAUUUUAAAAAUUAAAUAA